AAAACUCUUCUACUUCUACCUCUUCUUCAUUCUCGGCUUUGUCCUCAUAUUCUUUUUUUUUUUUGUUUCUUUCAAAUCAGAGGAAGCUAACCAUACUCAACAAUGACAGUUAGGACCGAGAAUCUCCCUCAAUCCAAUCCGCCUUUGAUGAAAUUACUGAAACACUGAUAUAAGUGAAAGUGAGAGAAACUCAUCAUCUUCCUUAAACACUACCUCACAACGUCGUCGCCGUCACUGCACGUCACAGCCGGAGUUUCAUGCGCAGCCGCUCUAUAGAUCUGUACCAAAACCCUAAUAUGUUACUGGGCUAGACUAUUAAUUUUGUGUUGGAUUUUUGUUAAUUGUAUAUUGGACCUUUAUUGGAUAUGAUUUUCAUUAUAUUGUGUAAGUUUUUUUUUCUCUAGUA